ACCAGACUCCUACGGGAGGCAGCAGUGGGGAAUAUUGCACAAUGGGGGAAACCCUGAUGCAGCGACGCCGCGUGAGUGAAGAAGUAAUUCGUUAUGUAAAGCUCUAUCAGCAGGGAAGAAAAUGACGGUACCUGAGUAAGAAGCCCCGGCUAACUACGUGCCAGCAGCCGCGGUAAUACGUAGGGGGCAAGCGUUAUCCGGAUUUACUGGGUGUAAAGGGAGCGUAGACGGCAGUGCAAGUCUGGAGUGAAAGGCGGGGGCUCACCCUGCGUCCGCCGUUGAAACUGGCGUUCUUGAGUGGGCGAGAAGUACGCGGAAUGCGUGGUGUAGCGGUGAAAUGCAUAGAUAUCACGCAGAACCCCGAUUGCGAAGGCAGCGUACCGGCGCCCAACUGACGCUGAAGCACGAAAGCGUGGGUAUCGAACAGGAUUAGAUACCCUUGUAAC
rnacentral:rRNA from 1 species